rnacentral:rRNA from 1 species
UACGUAGGGGGCAAGCGUUGUCCGGAUUUAUUGGGCGUAAAGAGCGUGUAGGCGGCCAAGCAGGUCAGCUGUGAAAACUCGAGGCUCAACCUCGAGACGUCGGUUGAAACCGCUUGGCUAGAGUCCGGAAGAGGAGAGUGGAAUUCCCGGUGUAGCGGUGAAAUGCGCAGAUAUCGGGAAGAACACCAAUGGCGAAGGCAGCUCGCUGGGACGGUACUGACGCUGAGACGCGAAAGCGUGGGGAGCAAACAGG